UACAGAGGUGUCAAACGUUGUCCGGAAUUAUUGGGCGUAAAGGGUGCGUAGGUGGCGGGGUAAGUCUGGUGUGAAAUCUCGGAGCUCAACUCCGAAACUGCACUGGAUACUGCCUUGCUCGAGUAUUGGAGAGGAGAUUGGAAUUUACGGUGUAGCAGUGAAAUGCGUAGAUAUCGUAAGGAAGACCAGUGGCGAAGGCGAAUCUCUGGACAGUUACUGACACUGAGGCACGAAGGCCAGGGGAGCAAACGGG
rnacentral:rRNA from 1 species